UUUGAAAAAUGUCGCACGUCGUACAAGCUGUCGCGCGGUUUUGAUUUUACCGUUUCGAUAUUGAUUGGUCGAAAGGACGACAAACGUACGACAAACACUCGACAUGCCCGACAUUGUUUUUUCCAUCGAUUUUCCUUCAAUUCGACGUCACGAUUUUCGUCGACGCAAACAGUUUGACAGUUCUCUUCAGUUGAUCUUGUUCGGACUUGAUUGCAACCGAAUCGAACCAGCUGUCCUUCCUUUUGGGAUUUGGUUUAGGAGCCUCGAAGAUUUUGGACGAUUUUCGACGGAUAAUAGAUUUCGGUCUUCGUGGCGGUGGAGGAGGACGAGAAGGAGGACGGGACGGGAAGGAACCGGUUUGCGAUCGAGGAAGGUUGGUGUUUGGUGUUUUACUUUCCGCGGGAGGUGGCGGCACAUACCUGAUGAAACUGGGAACAAACACGUACUCCACAAUCCCACGUUAUCUCGUACUCCGGUGGCCAUCAAUCCAUCUGAGAUCCAAGAUUGGCGUCGCAUCCGGGUAAAACUUUGAUCAGCUCGUCGAGAAGCAAAAGUCCAACACCAACAUCCAAGCCGGAAGCUGCGGUCAAGGCAAAUCCGAGACCAUCUGAAGAAAGCCAAGUUGGAUAAGAAUCGGCGAUCCGGAAGUUUUUAGUGAAUUUAGUGAAAAAGUGAAUAUUAUAGUGAAAUUAGGUGUGUUUCAAUAAAAAAUUAAAUAAAAAAACAAAACAACAGUUUUUUCAACAGCAACAUAACCUAAAAAUCCGAAAUGACAGCACACGACAAUAGCACGACAUCCUAAAUAACAAAACCGUGCGACGUCGGUCGAAUGUCGCACGACAAUGUCGUACAAUUUCGAUUAUCGAUCGCACGACAAAUACGACAUUUUGGUGCAAAAACGUAUGACAUUCGCGCGAAAGUCGCACGACAUUGUCGUGCGACGUCGUACAAUUGCACGGACGACAAACGACGGACGUCUGACGGACUUUUCAG